UUGCUGUAGCAGCACAUAUGUUAAAAAUAGGAACAAUGCAGAGAAGAUUAGUACGACCCCUGCACAAGGAUGAUAUGCAAAUUUCUGAAGCAUUCCAUAUUUUC